rnacentral:rRNA from 1 species
AUACGUAGGUGGCAAGCGUUGUCCGGAAUUAUUGGGCGUAAAGCGCAUGUAGGCGGUUUGGUAAGUCGGUCGUGAAAAUGCGGGGCUUAACGCCGUAUGGCGAUUGAAAAUGCUGAACUUGAGUGCAGGAGAGGAAAGGGGAACUCCCAGUGUAGCGGUGAAAUGCGUAGAUAUUGGGAAGAACACCGGUGGCGAAGGCGCCUUUCUGGACUGUGUCUGACGCUCAGAUGCGAAAGCCAGGGUAGCGAACGGGAUUAGAUACCCCGGUAGUCCUGGCCGUAAACGAUGGGUACUAGGUGUGGGAGGUAUCGACUCCUUCCGUGCCGGAGUUAACGCAAUAAGUACCCCGCCUGGGGAGUACGGCCGCAAGGCUUAAACUCAAAGGAAUUGACGGGG